CGGCUGCUUACCAUGCAGUCGAGCGGUAAGGCCCUUCGGGGUACACGAGCGGCGAACGGGUGAGUAACACGUGAGCAACCUGCCCCUGACUCUGGGAUAAGCGGUGGAAACGCCGUCUAAUACCGGAUACGACCCGCCACCUCAUGGUGGAGGGUGGAAAGUUUUUCGGUCAGGGAUGGGCUCGCGGCCUAUCAGCUUGUUGGUGGGGUAACGGCCUACCAAGGCGAUUACGGGUAGCCGGCCUGAGAGGGCGACCGGCCACACUGGGACUGAGACACGGCCCAGACUCCUGCGGGAGGCAGCAGUGGGGAAUAUUGCGCAAUGGGCGAAAGCCUGACGCAGCGACGCCGCGUGGGGGAUGACGGCCUUCGGGUUGUAAACCUCUUUUACCACCAACGCAGGCUCGAAGUUUUCUUCGGGUUGACGGUAGGUGGGGAAUAAGGACCGGCUAACUACGUGCCAGCAGCCGCGGUAAUACGUAGGGUCCGAGCGUUGUCCGGAAUUAUUGGGCGUAAAGAGCUCGUAGGCGGCGUGUCGCGUCUGCUGUGAAAGACCGGGGCUUAACUCCGGUUCUGCAGUGGAUACGGGCAUGCUAGAGGUAGGUAGGGGAGACUGGAAUUCCUGGUGUAGCGGUGAAAUGCGCAGAUAUCAGGAGGAACACCGGUGGCGAAGGCGGGUCUCUGGGCCUUACCUGACGCUGAGGAGCGAAAGCAUGGGGAGCGAACAGGAUUAGAUACCCUGGUAGUCCAUGCCGUAAACGUUGGGCGCUAGGUGUGGGGACUUUCCACGGUUUCCGCGCCGUAGCUAACGCAUUAAGCGCCCCGCCUGGGGAGUACGGCCGCAAGGCUAAAACUCAAAGGAAUUGACGGGGGCCCGCACAAGCGGCGGAGCAUGUUGCUUAAUUCGACGCAACGCGAAGA
rnacentral:rRNA from 1 species